GAUGAAGAACGCAGCGAAAUGCGAUAAGUAAUGUGAAUUGCAGAAUUCAGUGAAUCAUCGAAUCUUUGAACGCACCUUGCGCCCUUUGGCAUUCCGAAGGGCACGCCUGUUUGAGUGUCGUGAACUCCUCCACCCUCUCCUUUUUCGAAAGGUGUUGGGCUGGGAUUUGGGAGCUUGCAGGUCCCUGGCCGAUCUGCUCUCCUUGAAUACAUUAGCGAAGCCCUUGCGGCCUUGGUGUGAUAGUCAUCUACGCCUCGGCUUAGCGCACUUAUGGGAGUCGCUUCUAAUCGUCUCGCAAGAGACAACUUUUACCAACUUGACCUCAAAUCAGGCGGGACUACCCGCUGAACUUAAGCAUAUCAAUAAGCGGAGGA
rnacentral:misc_RNA from 1 species